GACGAACGCUGGCGGCGUGCUUAACACAUGCAAGUCGAACGGAAAGGCCCUGCUUUUGUUGUGUGCUCGAGUGGCGAACGGGUGAGUAACACGUGAGUAACCUGCCCUUGACUUUGGGAUAACUUCAGGAAACUGUGGCUAAUACCGGAUAGGAGCUCCUGCUGCAUGGUGUGGGUUGGAAAGUUUCGGCGGUUGGGGAUGGACUCGCGGCUUAUCAGCUUGUUGGUGGGGUAGUGGCUUACCAAGGCUUUGACGGGUAGCCGGCCUGAGAGGGUGACCGGCCACAGUGGGACUGAGAUAGGGCCCAGACUCCUACGGGAGGCAGCAGUGGGGAAUAUUGCACAAUGGGCGGCAGCCUGAUGCAGCAACGUCGCGUGCGGGAUGACGGCCUUCGGGUUGUAAACCGCUUUCGCCUGUGACGAAGCGUGAGUGACGGUAAUGGGUAAAGAAGCACCGGCUAACUACGUG
rnacentral:rRNA from 1 species